GACGAACGCUGGCGGCGUGCUUAACACAUGCAAGUCGAACGGAAAGGCCCUGCUAUCGUGGUGUUCUCGAGUGGCGAACGGGUGAGUAACACGUGAGUAACCUGCUCUACACUUUGGGAUAACUUCAGGAAAGUGGGGUUAAUAUCAUAUCGCAGCUCCUCCUGCAUGGUGGGCGUUGGAAAGUUUGGGCUUUUGGGGUUGGACGCGGGGCUUAUCAGCUUGUUGGUGGGGUAGUGGCUGACCAAGGCUUGGACGGGUCCGCCGCAGUAGAGGGUGACCGGCCUCAUUGGGACUGCGAGACGCACCAGUGGCGAACGGGGGGCAGUGGUGGGGAGUAUUGCACAGUGGGCCGAAGCCUGAGGCAGAAGCGCCGCGUGCGGGAUGACGGCCUGCGGGUUGUAAACCGCUUUCGCCUGAGACGAAGCGGGAGUGACGGUAAUGGGUAAAGAAGCACCGGCUAACUACGUG
rnacentral:rRNA from 1 species